rnacentral:tRNA from 3 species
GCUAGCGUGGCAGAGCUUGGUAAAUGCAA